rnacentral:tRNA from 1 species
ACUAUUUUGGCAGAAAAGUGCUAUGAAUUUAGAAUUCAUGAAUAUAGGUUAAUCCUAUAGAUAGUAC